rnacentral:rRNA from 1 species
AUUGAACGCUGGCGGAAUGCUUUACACAUGCAAGUCGAACGGCAGCACGGACUUCGGUCUGGUGGCGAGUGGCGAACGGGUGAGUAAUGUAUCGGAACGUGCCCAGUCGUGGGGGAUAACGUAGUGAAAAUUACGCUAAUACCGCAUACGAUCUAUGGAUGAAAGCGGGGGAUCGCAAGACCUCGCGCGAUUGGAGCGGCCGAUAUCAGAUUAGGUAGUUGGUGGGGUAACGGCCCACCAAGCCAACGAUCUGUAGCUGGUCUGAGAGGACGACCAGCCACACUGGAACUGAGACACGGUCCAGACUCCUACGGGAGGCAGCAGUGGGGAAUUUUCGACAAUGGGCGAAAGCCUGAUCCAGCCAUUCCGCGUGCAGGAUGAAGGCCCUCGGGUUGUAAACUGCUUUUGUACAGAACGAAAAGGUUUCUACUAAUACUUGGAGCUCAUGACGGUACUGUAAGAAUAAGCACCGGCUAACUACGUGCCAGCCGCCGCGGUAA